rnacentral:tRNA from 1 species
GGAGUUGUGGCUCAGUGGUAGAGUGGUUGCCUAGCAUGCAUAAGGCACUGGGUUCGAUUCUCAGCAGCACAU